UUUAGGCGAUUUCUUCAACUAGAAGACGAUAAAUCGAACUUCACCAGAACUUUGAAGGUACAUCCAGGAAACUGUUCAAAAUGGAUUUUUUUUCUGUUGUUUAUCAUUAACAGAACUGAGAAAUCUAUCUCGGAACAGGUGGUACAGACAAAUUUACAAUAAAAUGUAUUAAAGACAUAAUGCGGCAGAGAAUUGGGUUUUAUGUUCACUAAACAGGCCCAAAGAAAUACCUGCAAUGGGCAGGUUUAGCUUUUACAUCAUGCCUGUUUAAUAGAGGUUUACAGAAUAAAUGGUGUGUCGUCAGAUGACAGAACAUCCGCACCCCCAAUUUCCUCAAAGGUGCAACUGAUACCAGAUGAUAGCUACUUUAAGUAAUCAAGAACCCCAGAUGUAAAAUGAAUUGAUGUUAUCGCCAAAUCCAUCUAUAAUACUAUAAUCUGUUUGGAUAAAUUUUCUCAAAGUAUUCUUUGGUUUCCUGAAGAGAAAAAUCUAAAUCACAAGUUUUUCACUCAGUGGAAAACAUCAAUACUUACCUAUUUCAUUUGUUUCGAUUGUUUGAGAUAAUUUAUCAGAUAUGACUGGUGACGUUCCAGUAGCUUCUACAGUGACUAAAUAUCGUCUGUAAGGCUCCAAAUCAUUGUUAGGUAUAAUUAUGGCUGAAAAUU